rnacentral:rRNA from 1 species
GACAGCAGCAGCCGCGGUAAUACGAAGGGGGCUAGCGUUGUUCGGAAUUACUGGGCGUAAAGCGCACGUAGGCGGAUAUUUAAGUCAGGGGUGAAAUCCCAGAGCUCAACUCUGGAACUGCCUUUGAUACUGGGUAUCUUGAGUAUGGAAGAGGUGAGUGGAAUUCCGAGUGUGGAGGUGAAAUUCGUAGAUAUUCGGAGGAACACCAGUGGCGAAGGCGGCUCACUGGUCCAUUACUGACGCUGAGGUGCGAAAGCGUGGGGAGCAAACAGGAUUAGAUACCCGCGUAGUCCCUGUCUCUUAUAC